UCUAAUAUGGCAGACUAGUGCAAUGGAUUUAAGCUCCAUAAAUAAAGAUAAUAUUUCUUUUUUUAGAA
rnacentral:tRNA from 1 species